AACAAACUAGAAGUGUGUCGUUGCAGACGGGUUGCAUUUUUAGUUUUAUAUAUGUUAAAUCACGUCUGUGAUCUUUUUUAAAUGGCCUCGAGCAGCAGAUAAACAAUGAAUCUAACGGAUGAUCAGCUUCCCAACUGAAGGGAAUAAAGGAUGUGGAGCGUCACACUCAUCUAGCAGAAGCAUGUGGACUGUAAUGAUGCUCAUCUGCUGAUGGACAGGCAAAAGCAAAGAUACUGCUGGACAGAGCUCACCGUUCAACUGUUGUGUUCCCUAUAUUUAUACAAAACACUGUUAAAGUUGCAGGUCCAACAUGCUAAGUUGGGUCUUGAGUUGCCCAGACAAAACCUCAUCUUCAU